AAUAUCGUCUGCCAAGGCCCAACAUUGGUACUAUAUUUUCCCAACAUAAUAAUUUUGUUAAUACUGAAAACAUAGGGAGUUAGUGCUACCCGAGGAGUAAUUCAACAUAAUACAGGGAGGGCCAGUGCUGAUGGUGCUGGUCCAAAACAGAGCAGCUUAUUAACGCUACCCGGGGCAACUCGGCGUUUGGCGUGGUAACCAUCGCUCAUCCGUCGUGUCCUGAGAAUGAGAUACGCGGCUCCUAUCGGGAUGUUGGCCGUCGGGCGGCCUUGCUGGACUUGUUUUACCUUUCUCAAGUGUCUUGUGCGAGGGAUUCCGAGGAUGCUUUGGGUUAUCUCGAGGUUGAGGUUUUCCAAUGGGAACCCGAGGAGAUCACGGGUUUCCCUGAUCAAGGUCAAUCCGCCGCAGCGUGUGGUAGUUUGUGAUGGACUAGUUGGAGCACCCCUGCAGGGUUAAAUCUUACGGAAAGUCGUGCCCGCGGUUAUGUAGCAACAUGGAAACUUUGUUUAACAUGCGGUUCUAGAUAACUUGACGUAAGCUUAAUUGAAAUAUGCCAAUUGAGUGCGUAACCAUGAAUGUCUCUUUCGUGAGGUCCUUCUCCGAUUGAGGACAUGGUGGGUUAUGUCUGACGUAAGUAGGUGUUCAGAAUCAUUCAUUUGAUCGUUACUAGUUCACGUGUGCUGUGCGUAGAUC
rnacentral:lncRNA from 1 species